CAGCCGCCGCGGGAAUGCGUAGGUGGCAAGCGUUGUCCGGAAUUAUUGGGCGUAAAGGGCUCGCAGGCGGUUUCUUAAGUCUGAUGUGAAAGCCCCCGGCUCAACCGGGGAGGGUCAUUGGAAACUGGGAAACUUGAGUGCAGAAGAGGAGAGUGGAAUUCCACGUGUAGCGGUGAAAUGCGUAGAGAUGUGGAGGAACACCAGUGGCGAAGGCGACUCUCUGGUCUGUAACUGACGCUGAGGAGCGAAAGCGUGGGGAGCGAACAGGAUUAGAUACCCCCGUAGUCCCUGUCUCUUAUAC
rnacentral:rRNA from 1 species